GGGGGGGUCGGGGGAUUCGGGUGUCUGAUGGCUCUUGGACUGGGGACGGUGGCUGCCGCUUGGUGAUUUCUGUGUGCGGGCCCUGGUUGUUGGUGGGGGGGGCCUGGAUGUAUGCUCUUGUGGUCUUGGGGUGUGGGUCUGGGGGGCCCAUGGUGGUGGGUGCUGGCCCUGUCCGGUUGGCUGGGUUCCCCUGUGGCGGUCGGGGUGCGGAGUCCGGGGCCCUGGUGCCCGUGGGCGUCUGUCGCCUGUUAAUCCACUCUCAGUCUACUUUUAUAGACUUUUUUCCUCAGGUUUGCUGGAUUAGCUGUUUGCUGCUGCAGUUUGUUUGUGUAAGUUUCUAAUUUCAACUGAAACAAGGCUCUCGCGUCUCCUGUCCGGCCAGACUGAUGGAAGUUUCUGAAGUCAGCUCUUCUCCACCACCACCACAGAUCAGCUGCUCAUCAUCCAUCUUACUCUCCACUACAGAUUACAUCCAAGCCAUUAGUGGCGCUAUUACACUCCUGAGCACAUAAAACCUAUAUGGAUGUAUAAAAGACUUUUUAAAUUUUAAUUUAAAAGCCGUUUGACCAGUGGUAGGAUGGUCCCCCCUCAAAUGUGAGUCUUGGUCCUCCCAAGGUUUCUUCCUCCUCCUCCAGCUCUGAGGGUGUUUUUCCUUGCCUCCGCGCUCACUGGGGGUUCUGUAUUCUGUAUUUUCUAUGUGUAAUGCUUUGCCUGAUUCUUUGUCCUGUAAUCAUGUUUCUGUAAAGCUGCUUUGUGCCAACACCUGUUGUAAAAAGCGCUAUACAAAUAAAUUUGAUUUGAUUUG